GCUCCUUGGUGGCGAGUGGCGAACGGGUGAGUAAUAUAUCGGAACAUGCCCAGUAGCGGGGGAUAACUACUCGAAAGAGUGGCUAAUACCGCAUACGUCCUACGGGAGAAAGCAGGGGACCUUCGGGCCUUGCACUAUUGGAGUGGCCGAUAUCGGAUUAGCUAGUUGGUGGGGUAAAGGCCUACCAAGGCGACGAUCCGUAGCUGGUUUGAGAGGACGACCAGCCACACUGGGACUGAGACACGGCCCAGACUCCUACGGGAGGCAGCAGUGGGGAAUUUUGGACAAUGGGGGAAACCCUGAUCCAGCCAUCCCGCGUGUGCGAUGAAGGCCUUCGGGUUGUAAAGCACUUUUGUCAGGAAAGAAAUCGCCCGGGAUAAUACCUCGGGUGGAUGACGGUACCUGAAGAAUAAGCACCGGCUAACUACGUGCCAGCAGCCGCGGUAAUACGUAGGGUGCAAGCGUUAAUCGGAAUUACUGGGCGUAAAGCGUGCGCAGGCGGUUCGGAAAGAAAGAUGUGAAAUCCCAGGGCUUAACCUUGGAACUGCAUUUUUAACUACCGGGCUAGAGUGUGUCAGAGGGGGGUGGAAUUCCGCGUGUAGCAGUGAAAUGCGUAGAUAUGCGGAGGAACACCGAUGGCGAAGGCAGCCCCCUGGGAUAACACUGACGCUCAUGCACGAAAGCGUGGGGGAGCAAACAGGAUUAGAUACCCUGGUAGUCCACGCCCUAAACGAUGUCAACUAGCUGUUGGGGCCUUCGGGCCUUAGUAGCGCAGCUAACGCGUGAAGUUGACCGCCUGGGGAGUACGGUCGCAAGAUUAAAACUCAAAGGAAUUGACGGGGACCCGCACAAGCGGUGGAUGAUGUGGAUUAAUUCGAUGCAACGCGAAAAACCUUACCUACCCUUGACAUGUCUGGGAUCCCGAAGAGAUUUGGGGAGUGCUCGCAAGAGAACCCGGAACACAGGUGCUGCAUGGCUGUCGUCAGCUCGUGUCGUGGAGAUGU
rnacentral:rRNA from 1 species